GACGAACGCUGGCGGCGUGCCUAAUACAUGCAAGUCGAGCGCAGUGGGGACGGGUGAGUAACACGUGGGUAACCUCCCAUCAGAGGGGAUAACACUUGGAAACAGGUUCUAAACCGAUAUUAAUUGAUCGACCCUCGGUUCAUGAGCUAGGUGGGGAGGGAACGGCUCACCAAGGCCACGAUGCAUAGGCGACCCGAGAGGGGGAUAGGCCACCCUGGGUGAGAGAAACGGCCCAGACUCCUACGGUAGGCAGCAGUAGAGAAUCCUCGGCAAUGGACGAAAGUCUGACCUAGCAACGUCGCGUGAGUGAAGAAGGUUUGCGGAGCGUAAAACUAUGAUGUUAGAGAAGCGGUAUCUAACCAGAAAGCCACGGCUAACUACGUGCCAGCAGCCGCGGUAAUUC
rnacentral:rRNA from 1 species